rnacentral:rRNA from 1 species
AGAACGAACGCUGGCGGCAGGCUUAACACAUGCAAGUCGAACGCCCCGCAAGGGGAGUGGCAGACGGGUGAGUAACGCGUGGGAAUCUACCCAGUUCUACGGAAUAACACAGGGAAACUUGUGCUAAUACCGUAUACGCCCUACGGGGGAAAGAUUUAUCGGGAUUGGAUGAGCCCGCGUUGGAUUAGCUAGUUGGUGGGGUAAUGGCCUACCAAGGCGACGAUCCAUAGCUGGUCUGAGAGGAUGAUCAGCCACACUGGGACUGAGACACGGCCCAGACUCCUACGGGAGGCAGCAGUGGGGAAUAUUGGACAAUGGGCGCAAGCCUGAUCCAGCCAUGCCGCGUGAGUGAUGAAGGCCUUAGGGUUGUAAAGCUCUUCAGUGGGAAGAUAAUGACGGUACCACAGAAGAAGCCCGGCUAACUCGUGCCAGCAGCCGC